rnacentral:rRNA from 1 species
UACGGAGGAUCCGAGCGUUAUCCGGAUUUAUUGGGUUUAAAGGGUGCGUAGGUGGUUUGAUAAGUCAGCGGUGAAAGUUUGCAGCUUAACUGUAAAAAUGCCGUUGAAACUGUCGGACUUGAGUGUAAAUGAGGUAGGCGGAAUGCGUGGUGUAGCGGUGAAAUGCAUAGAUAUCACGCAGAACUCCGAUUGCGAAGGCAGCUUACUAAGCUACAACUGACACUGAAGCACGAAAGCGUGGGGAGUCAAACAGGAUUAGAUACCCCGGUAGU